GUGAAUCAUCAAAUUUUUGAACGCAAAUUGCACUCUCCGGUAUUCCGGAGAGUAUGCCUGUUUGAGGGUCAGUUUAAAUAACAAUCGGUGUGGUUGCUGCCUUUCGUGGUGACGCACCGGCACUGGGUCGUCUUGCCUUCGGUUAAGUGACCUAACCUCUUGCAUGAUUUCUUUCGAACGUAUUCAAAUGAUCUUAC
rnacentral:misc_RNA from 1 species